GACCUCAGAUCAGGUAGGGAUACCCCCUGAACUUAAGCAUAUCAAUAAGGGGAGGAAAAGAAACCAACAGGGAUUGCCUCAGUAACGGCGAGUGAAGCGGCAAAAGCUCAAAUUUGAAAUCUGGCACUCUUAGUGUCCGAGUUGUAAUUUGUAGAGGUAACUUUGGGUUACAGCCAGGUCUAUGUUCCUUGGAACAGGACGUCAUGGAGGGUGAGAAUCCCGUAAAUGGCUUGGUGAGUGCCUAUGUAUAGUGCCUUCGACGAGUCGAGUUGUUUGGGAAUGCAGCUCUAAGUGGGUGGUAAAUUCCAUCUAAAGCUAAAUAUUGGCGAGAGACCGAUAGCGCACAAGUAGAGUGAUCGAAAGGUGAAAAGCACUCCGGAAGGAGAGUUAAACAGCACGUGAAAUUGUUGAAAGGGAAGCGCUUGAGACCAGACUUAGGUAAAGUUGAUCAACUUCCAUUUUUGGUGGUGCACUCUUCUUUACCCAGGCCAGCAACAGUUUUGACGGUAGUAUAAAGGUUUAGGGAAUGUGGCUCUCUUCGGGAGUGUUAUAGCCCUAUCCGUAAUGCUGCCAGUGGAAACUGANGACGCGCUUC
rnacentral:rRNA from 1 species